UCCACUAGUGUCGUUUGACUUAAGCAAACAAGUGCACGACGGUGAUCUUGGUCUUCGUGUUUCCGUUCCAGAUCGGACGGCGGUGAUGCCUGAGAAAAGAACAACAGAGACGUGGGUGAUGGUCGAGAGCGUGACAGACACGUGCAUGGAUUUGGUAGAAGGACUAGGGAGAACGGACGUGGAGAAAAUAAAGAAUCUGGAGAGGGACACGUGUCCUGGAUUUAUAUCGGACGGUUCAAAUAGAGUACAGUGGGUAAACGAAGCUUACAAAAAGAUGGUAACGGUGGGCUCGGAAUACAACAGCAGGGGGCAGUCAUCGUCUCCGGAGAUUACGGUACGGUUAGCGAUAAAAGAGAAAGUGUUGCCUUAUCUGCACUGCAAUGCGUUUACGU
rnacentral:lncRNA from 1 species